rnacentral:rRNA from 1 species
CCUACGGUGGGCUGCAGUGGGGAAUAUUGGACAAUGGGCGAAAGCCUGAUCCAGCCAUGCCGCGUGUGUGAAGAAGGCCUUCGGGUUGUAAAGCACUUUCAGUGGGGAAGAAAGCCUUGGGGCUAAUACCCUCGAGGAAGGACAUCACCCACAGAAGAAGCACCGGCUAACUCCGUGCCAGCAGCCGCGGUAAUACGGAGGGUGCGAGCGUUAAUCGGAAUUACUGGGCGUAAAGCGCGCGUAGGCGGUCUGAUAAGCCGGUUGUGAAAGCCCCGGGCUCAACCUGGGAACGGCAUCCGGAACUGUCAGGCUAGAGUGCAGGAGAGGAAGGUAGAAUUCCCGGUGUAGCGGUGAAAUGCGUAGAGAUCGGGAGGAAUACCAGUGGCGAAGGCGGCCUUCAGGACUGACACUGACGCUGAGGUGCGAAAGCGUGGGUAGCAAACAGGAUUAGAUACCCCAGUAGUC